rnacentral:rRNA from 1 species
GAUGAACGCUGGCGGCGUGCCUAAUACAUGCAAGUCGAGCGAACAGACGAGGAGCUUGCUCCUCUGACGUUAGCGGCGGACGGGUGAGUAACACGUGGAUAACCUACCUAUAAGACUGGGAUAACUUCGGGAAACCGGAGCUAAUACCGGAUAAUAUAUUGAACCGCAUGGUUCAAUAGUGAAAGACGGUUUUGCUGUCACUUAUAGAUGGAUACGCGCCGCAUUAGCUAGUUGGUAAGGUAACGGCUUACCAAGGCAACGAUACGUAGCCGACCUGUGGGCGUGAUCGGCCACACUGGAACUGAGACACGGUCCAGACUCCUACGGGAGGCAGCAGUAGGGAAUCUUCCGCAAUGGGCGAAAGCCUGACGGAGCAACGCCGCGUGAGUGAUGAAGGUCUUCGGAUCGUAAAACUCUGUUAUUAGGGAAGAACAAAUGUGUAAGUAACUAUGCACGUCUUGACGGUACCUAAUCAGAAAGCCACGGCUAACUACGUGCCAGCCGCCGCGGUAA